UUUAAAUUUUCCAAAAAUUCCUAUCAUGGAAGAGAUAUGUCAGUAGCAGAAACUUGCAAUAAAGCUAAAUGAAAAACGACACACAUUUAAAGCUGAGCAGACAGGCCUGUAGAUGGACCAGCACACUGGUGGCUGAGGAGGAUAAUGAGGGGCAGCUGGGAAGGCAGCUGAUGAUCAGAGGAAGCCUGCAGACGACUGCUGGGAGGUGAAGGAAGGGACGAGUGCGACAGGAGAUGUUAGAGGACAGGGUAAACUGGAGAAAAGGUGCAAAAUAACUAAGGCGUUGCUGUCAAAAAGUAUAUUUCAUUGGAGGCUGUGGCAGUAAGUAUACACAACAAAAAUAUAAAUGCAACACUUUUGUUUUUGCUCCCAUUUUUUAUGAGAUGAACUCAAAGAUCUAAAACUUUUUCCACAUACACAAUAUCGCCAUUUCUCUCAAAUAUUGUUCACAAAUCUGUCUAAAUCUGAGAUAGUGAGCACUUCUCCUUUGCUGAGAUAAUCCAUCCCACCUCACAGGUGUGCCAAAUCAAGAUGCUGAUUAGACACCAUGAUUAGCACACAGGUGUGCCUUAGACUGCCCACAAUAAAAGGGAGCAAAAACAGAAGUGUUGCAUUUAUAUUUUUGUUGAGUGUAUGUGACCACAUGCACAAUUAGUGCACACACAUCACAACAAAGCUUAAGUGAUGUGCUGCAGUAAUGCGCCAUGUCAUCUUUUCUAAUCUGGGGUUGACUAAUCCUCCAGUGUUCCUGAUCCAAGCAGGUGAACAGAAGCAGAGGCAAACACACGGUAAGAGGAAAUCGUCCCCUCGCCUCUGCUGAUUGUUUGCAGUAUGGACGGCUUGUGUUGACCCUGCAGGGUGGUGGUGAACCCCUGGGGACCAUGUGCACCACCAUCAUGUUUCUCUCCACUCUGGCUUUUGUACUGCGGCAGCGUUUCACCAGCCGAGCCAAGACUUUUCCAAAAGACUUGGAGGAGAAGGAAACGUCCUCAGCGCAGAGUCAAGACCUGGACAAGUGAGACUCACUGUUCUAACAGUAAUCAGAGGUGGGUUUUAGAUGUGGAGGCUGUUCUCAGGUCCAUGGAGAGACAGCUGAAUGCUUCGCUGGAGAAAUAUCCUGACUGUAAAAGUGGAAACCGCUCCGACUGUCCUCCAUCUUCUUUAAGCCUCGGCAGAUCUCGCUCCAGUCAAACAAGCUGAUCCGUAGCGGUGGCUUUAGAUCAGCUUUCAGACAGCGACACUCAACACAAAUCGCCUACUUUUGCCCCAGCCAGACACUCUAAAAUAGAUGGGCUUUGAGCUUGUUGAUGGUUGUGUUUUCUCUUCAACACCAAAGAGGGGGGUAUCAGGAAAGAUUAGAAGCCUGCAGAACCGUAGGCUCUGCAGCAGAUAUGAUAGGCAGCUUUGAUUGAAUCCUGACUGCUACAAACCCUCCUGCAAUGAUCUCUUCACUUAAGAGUUUGUUUGACGUUCGGGGGGGGGGAAGUAAUUUCACACUCGAGCGUAUCAUGACUUAACUGUCCCACAAGCAAUGAAAACUUCCCUUGAAAUGGCUUCUGAAACUUUUUGUCAUUACCAUUGCUGCCGGAGCAGAAAUAAACAAGUGUUUUCUGUGAUGUACA